AACGUAGGUACCGAGCGUUAUCCGGAUUUACUGGGCGUAAAGCGUGUUCAGGCGGCCUGGCAAGUCGGGCAUGAAAUCUCUCGGCUCAACCGAGAGAGGCUGUCCGAUACUGCUGGGCUUGAGGACGGUAGAGGGUGGUGGAAUUCCGCGUGUAGUGGUGAAAUGCGUAGAUAUGCGGAGGAACACCAGUGGCGAAGGCGGCCACCUGGACCGUCCCUGACGCUCAAACACGAAAGCUAGGGUAGCGAAUGGG
rnacentral:rRNA from 1 species